GAAGACGCAGCUCUGGCAGGCGGGAUUCUUCUACCAAGCUACAGGGAGGAGAAUGAUGCACGUGAAGGGCCACACCUGAAGAACCUCGGGGACAGAGGCAGGUGAUCCUCAGUGCAAACUGAAACGACAAGGCGUGCACUCAUGUCAACGAGCCGGUCAAAUUUCAUGUGGACACCAAACGCACGGCCAUGCUUCAGCAACGGCGUGAAGUCCAUGACCUCAUCAAAAUGCACAACCUGAUGGCAACGAUGCAGAACUGGAGCCUCAAUAAUCCAGUAGAUCACCGGCUCACAGACAUCCGACAGCUGGAAGAUCGGCAAGCAUUCAGACAUCCCGUGAAAUUGAAUCAUUGUUGUGCCACAGGGCACGUUACCCAAGUGUGAACUUUGGUUUUGGAGAUCAACGGUUUCGAUCUUCUAAUAGAGAAUGCAACUGCCCCAACGCAUACAUGCUUGCAGCCAUUGCAAUUUUGCUGCUGUUUCAUUUUAUGCUAUGGUUUUAAUGAAUGUUUUGCAUGUGAAUCUUUAGCAUUAUACUUUGAGAGAUGAGUGGAACAACCAAGUCCUGUGGAAAUAACUUACUUACUUAGUUGAGUCUGUUGAACAUGUGGCUUUCGAUGAACAAACCUUUGAGUGAGUUAAAGAGCUCGCCGCUUAAACCCGAGAAGAGAUUCUUCGCUGCUUGCCACGUUAAGCAAACAAUGGAGUUGCUGGCAGGCAUGAAGACUUCAGGAGAAAAGUCAUUUAAAAAGGUGUUUUAGAGUGUCUGCCAUCCAGGCUGUUUAGAGGAGCAGGGAGGGAAAAUGGACAUCAGCUUGUGAUUCAGCAGCAGCCAAACCUCACCAAACACGGCGGAGAGGGACGUAAUCCAGAUGCUAUUACUGCUGAACUGGCACUUUUUUGCCAGGACGCAGGGGUUUCCCAAACCUUUCCUGGGGGAGGGGGGGACCAAAUCAACAGGUG
ensembl:lncRNA